GCCCACAUAGCUCAGCAGGCAGAGCGUCGCCUUGGUAAGGCGGAGGUCACCGGUUCAAGCCCGGUUGUGGGCUCCA
rnacentral:tRNA from 1 species